rnacentral:rRNA from 1 species
UCUGGUGUCGAUGCGCCGGGGGGAAACACCCGUACCCAUCCCGAACACGACGGUUAAGCCCCGGGCGGCUGAAAAUACUACGCUGGCAACGGCGUGGGAAGAUAAGGUUGGAACCGAAG